CGUGACACAUCCAAGGCUGCAGACAUAUAAGUCCCCCAAGUCGGUUCUAUCCUCAUUUUAUCUAAUUUUCAAUUCAAGAGCAGACCAUCGGAGCUCCAAAUGAUCUCUCUUGCUCUCCAUCUUCAAGCAAUUCAAAGGAGUUCGUCGAAUGAAUUCUAAGUGAAAGUUCAUUGGUUGUAGUAGUAAUGGUAAGAAGCCUUCUUCUAGUUAUGCUUAUGGAUCCAUAUAAGGACCCAUGGGACCGUGAUCAAAAGCCGUGAGUUUAAGUUGUGUGGCUCGUAUAAUAUAAGUAUGUGGUUGUUUGUGUUGUUGGUUGUCCUAUGUAAGAUGAAGUUGGGGAGUAUUGUUUUAUUUGAUGGAGAGGUUGUAUGGUGUUUUUCUGAGUUCGGAUAAAGUUGGGUGUGGAGAACACGGAUGAAUUGUAAGUCUCGGGAGCUCGUCACUCUCUGAUUAUUUGAUGAAUUGUUUAUUUGACUAAAACAUGAUGUCGGUCUGUUAUUGUUGAUACUAUUCUUCAUAUUUAAUGUUCUUUAUUGAUUGAAGCUCAUAGCGAAAGUAUUGAUUCCUCGUAGUCUUAAGGUUGAGAAUCGAGGUAUGUAAUGCUGAACAUCUCAAUUUUGAAAUACCUAUUCGGUUUCCUAGAUAAAGUAUCUCGUAUAUAUGAUGUGAUCUCCCGAAGGAUGGAAAUAUAUCCCAUUUGUGAAUUGUAGCUAUUCAUAGCUUAUUCUAAACCAAGUACUCCAAAAUUCUCUAGAUUGUGUGACUAUGUUAGAACUCGUAAAAUAAGUUCGAUAAGAACGUUAUGAAAUUUCCAGUUCCUACGGGGUUUAGUGAUGGUGUAUUUCUGCCAGAAGUUUAAAUAAGUCUCUUACAUGUUUUUUGA